GAUGUAAACAAUUUAAAACCGUAAAGCUGAAACCGUAUACCUAAUGUAAUUAACAGGAAAAUGUAUAUCAGUACACAAUAAGUUAUAUACACAUAGCCUACAAUGUAAAAAUUCUUCUGCUGAGGGGGGAGAAUGUAACGAGCCGUUACAAACCAACCGUCCAACACACCUACCCUCACACCGCAGCCACAAGAGCGCCCGGCGUGUGCGAGACGAGGCGGGGCACCACACAGACGACUCCGGAGAAUACAAGGGGCGCGGGGCGACCCGCCUAUAAAUAGCCGCCGGACCGCCGCUAGAGCACCAUUCGCCACCUCCUACUCCGACGAGUGAUCAUUCCGUCCCCGAGAUCCCUCCCCGCACCCAUAUCUAUUCAAGUAAUCUAUUCACGCACACUAAUCUCACAACACCGGUCUCCCCGCGAGGUAGGUUGCUCAACGGACCGAGGUCUCUCGGAUAUAUGGAUGCCUGGGGUGCCUAGUUUAAAGCAUCCGUAUACCCGACUAGACCCGACACAGUGGGCUACCUAAUUAGCGGACCGAGGUCCCCCGGAUACGUACAUGGAUGCCUGGGUUGCCUAGUUUAAAGCAUCUGUGUAAGUACCGAACUAUACAAUCACCGAACACACACCGGCCUUCAGCCACAUUCUUGUCGACACAAAUACACUCCACAAACCCUGGAACAAGUCCACACGCACCACCGGUAUUCGCCCGACCUCCUGUACCCUGUAUCCUUCCCCUUAUUAAGAUAGGAACAUCCGCGUAGGCCCCUUCAGGGCCCGACCAAUAUAAAUAUCAAUAAUCGUGAUAAGUAUUUGUGCAUUUGUGUAGUGUGUUAAUAUUAAGUACGUAAGCUGUAAGUACCUUAGAUAUAUAAGUUAACUUGAUUGUAAAUAAAGCGGGUCCAGUGCCGCCUCAAUUGUGUUACACUAUUUAA